rnacentral:tRNA from 1 species
AGUACUACGCCGGAUGAACGGAAAUCAUUGAUGUUGAUUAAUAUGGGAUGGUAGAAGUCUCUAGUACUA